GAUGAACGCUGGCGGCGUGCCUAAUACAUGCAAGUCGAGCGAAUGGAUUGAGAGCUUGCUCUUAUGAAGUUAGCGGCGGACGGGUGAGUAACACGUGGGUAACCUGCCCAUAAGACUGGGAUAACUCCGGGAAACCGGGGCUAAUACCGGAUAACAUUUUGAACCGCAUGGUUCGAAAUUGAAAGGCGGCUUCGGCUGUCACUUAUGGAUGGACCCGCGUCGCAUUAGCUAGUUGGUGAGGUAACGGCUCACCAAGGCAACGAUGGGUAGCGGACCUGAGAGGGUGAUCGGCCACACGGGGACUGAGACACGGACCAGACUCCUACGGGAGGCAGCAGUAGGGAAUCUUCCGCAAUGGACGAAAGUCUGACGGAGCAACGCCGCGUGAGUGAUGAAGGCUUUCGGGUCGUAAAACUCUGUUGUUAGGGAAGAACAAGUGCUAGUUGAAUAAGCUGGCACCUUGACGGUACCUAACCAGAAAGCCACGGCUAACUACGUGCCAGCAGCCGCCGUAA
rnacentral:rRNA from 1 species